GUCUGCAUUUGAAAGCGAUCAUCAGCUGCCUAUUGACGCCUUGGUCAUUGAUAGUACAGGCAGUUGAACUGCAGAAAGCAUUCUCCGUGUUUGGAAACGCUGAUGCUUUUCUCACA
ensembl:snoRNA SNORA71 Small nucleolar RNA SNORA71